GGCUUAGUGGCGUAAUGGUAGCGCACUCCGUGUACCUACAGCAUUCGCAUAUCGGUUGAUGGAAGGUUCGGAGUUCGAUUCUCCAUCAAGCCA